GACGAACGCUGGCGGCGUGCUUAACACAUGCAAGUCGAACGGUAAGGCCCUUCGGGGUACACGAGUGGCGAACGGGUGAGUAACACGUGGGUGAUCUGCCCUGCACUUCGGGAUAAGCCUGGGAAACUGGGUCUAAUACCGGAUAGGACCAUUGCCUGCAUGGGUGGUGGUGGAAAGCUUUUGCGGUGUGGGAUGGGCCCGCGGCCUAUCAGCUUGUUGGUGGGGUGAUGGCCUACCAAGGCGACGACGGGUAGCCGGCCUGAGAGGGUGACCGGCCACACUGGGACUGAGAUACGGCCCAGACUCCUACGGGGGGCAGCAGUGGGGAAUAUUGCACAAUGGGCGCAAGCCUGAUGCAGCGACGCCGCGUGAGGGAUGACGGCCUUCGGGUUGUAAACCUCUUUCAGCACCGACGAAGCGCAAGUGACGGUAGGUGCAGAAGAAGGACCGGCCAACUACGUGCCAGCAGCCGCGGUAA
rnacentral:rRNA from 1 species